UAAGCUGCAAAAUUUGGACUGCAAAGUGCAUGAUUUCUGUACCCUCGAUAUUUUUGGGCUUAAUGGGCCAAAAUUGGAAUGAUGGGCCAACGGGCCCAAUUUGGUAAUCCCCAACCAUAGUGGGCUUGGAGCUGUGAGGGAAUUCGAAGUGGCCACCCGUUCUGAAAGUUUGAUUUUCUUCUGGUAAACUGGACAUCCUAUUAUUUACGUUUGAGGUUUGGGUUUUUAAAUGUAAUAAGGCCGCUUAAUUAUUUUUGAUGGCUUUAAUAUGUAUUACUAAGAUAGGUAUUACUUAUUUUAACUGUUGAAAUUGGAUAGCUUUAGGGCGCGUUUUCAAAAACAACAAUUGAUUUCAAAAUAGCACGACAAUAAGCAAAGCUUCCGCAAUGAAAGUAUUUUCUAAAAUUAAUCACUUUUCCUAAAAA